GCCUGGGUGGCUCAGUCGGUUAAGCGGCCGACUUUGGCUCAGGUCAUGAUCUCACGGUCCGUGAGUUCGAGCCCCACCUCGGGCU
rnacentral:tRNA from 1 species